rnacentral:rRNA from 1 species
UCAAACAAGCGCGGGUAAAACGGCGGGAGUAACUAUGACUCUCUUAAGGUAGCCAAAUGCCUCGUCAUCUAAUUAGUGACGCGCAUGAAUGGAUCAACGAGAUUCCCACUGUCCCUACUUACUAUCUGGUGAAACCGCAGCCAAGGGAACGGACUUGGCAAUAUCAGCGGGGAAAGAAGACCCUGUUGAGCUUGACUCUAGUCCGACUUUGUGAAAUAUCUUUAGGGGUGUAGAAUAAGUGGGAGGGUAACCAAUCUUGAAAUACCACUACCUUAAAUGAUGUUUUACUUAUUUGAUUAUUAGAAAAAUUACUUUAGUAUUAGUAGUCAUUAGACUAUGAUUCUUUUCAAAGACAUUGUCAGAUGGGGAGUUUGGCUGGGGGCGGCACAUUUGCUAAAAGAUAACGCAAGUGUCCAAGAUGAACUCAAUGAG